rnacentral:rRNA from 1 species
CAGCAGCCGCGGUAAUACGUAGGGUGCGAGCGUUAAUCGGAAUUACUGGGCGUAAAGCGUGCGCAGGCGGUUUUGUAAGACAGGCGUGAAAUCCCCGGGCUCAACCUGGGAAUGGCGCUUGUGACUGCAAAGCUAGAGUGCGGCAGAGGGGGAUGGAAUUCCGCGUGUAGCAGUGAAAUGCGUAGAUAUGCGGAGGAACACCGAUGGCGAAGGCAAUCCCCUGGGCCUGCACUGACGCUCAUGCACGAAAGCGUGGGGAGCAAACAGGAUUAGAGACCCGAGUAGUCCCUGUCUCUUAUAC